CUUGGUCAUUUAGAGGAAGUAAAAGUCGUAACAAGGUUUCCGUAGGUGAACCUGCGGAAGGAUCAUUCAUAAUAAGUGUUUUAUGGCACUUUUUAAAUCCAUAUCCACCUUGUGUGCAAUGUCGGUCGAUCUUCUUCAUGGAGAUCGACCAAACAUCAACCUUUAUCUUUUAACUCUUUGUCUGAAAAAUAUUAUGAAUAAACAAUUCAAAAUACAACUUUCAACAACGGAUCUCUUGGCUCUC
rnacentral:misc_RNA from 1 species